AAGGAAUGCUGUAGAGGUUUGCCUAAAAAUAAAAAAAAUUGCUGGAAAAAUUUUCUUUGGUCGGGUCGAACCCAUCAUUCAUCUGGCUCAUAACCAUGAAGACUGAUCACACUAGAGCACACGUGGCAGCUAUCCCGAGUGACACAUGCCUAUGUGCCAAAGUACAUGGAAUUUCAAAAGGAAGAUCAUGAACACUUGAAUGGCAUGAUUACUUUGCAAACAAAUUAUCCAUCUAAUCUUUCCACGUAUUAGAGUUCCCUCAAGUUCCUUUCUCAGGCGGGAUAAGCCCCUCAUACACCCACAUCCAAGUCCCAGGCACCCAUUCUCUUCGUCACAGACAUAACCCCAUGUCCAAGCCUUCUCUAUUUUAGCUUCAAAACAAAGUCAUUCCCCAACUCUUCCGACAUUCCACACGGUCGUGAGUAUCACCCGCGACGGAUUCCUCCCGAGUCUAUCCAUAGCUCCAAGUCCAACAAAUUCCACAUCAUUUUCCCCUGUUCCGAGUUCAUCCUUAUUCACAAGCUUCCCAGCCAAAUGGAUACGUUCCCUCCUUCCACAAAAUCCCAGGCAACUCCAAUCCCAGCUGCCAGCCAACCUCGAGUGAUUUCCGUAUCUAACCAAAUUUUCAUGCUUUCCGUAUCCACAUUCUCCAGCGCCCACAUCUUCGGCCGUCCAAAGAACAAAUCCAAACCUCCACGAACAAAGUACGUCCCAGCCUCUCUCCGGAUCAUAUUCGUGAUCCAUCUUCAUCCCACAUCCAUCCGAAUCCCCUGCUCCACGUCCGCAGCUUCAUCCUUACGAGCUUCACGGCAUCCAAACACACUACCUUGCUUCGGAACAAAGUUUCGGAUAAGCUCUAUCCGCAUCCCCUGCAUCCCAGAUCCCAUCUUCUCCGGAUUAUUUUCAUUAGCAAGAUCUCCUUUCAGCCGUUCCAAGCUCCCGAGUUCAUCCUUAUCCAUGGAUUCAUCCCAGCGUCCGUGAGUUCUUCCCAGAGCCUCCGAGAUCCUCUCAAACCCACUAUUUUCUCAUGCGUCGAAACAGAGCAAUCUCCUUCUCCCUCGAUUCAUCUUUAUCUUUCCGAUUCUUCCGGCACCUCAUCUAAGCCGUGAACAGCACCCCAGCUUCUUCCGAAUCCCUUGUUUUCCACGCUCAUCCCAAGUGCAUCCAUUUCUUCCUCAUCCCGUUUGGAUUGACUCCAUCAUCCACAUCUGUCACAACUAUCCCCUGUUUCGGAAACAGAACAUAGUGUCCUCUUCCCAUUUCGUGGAUCACAGCCGAAACAAAUCCAAACCAGCAGCAUCCAUCCAUUUUCCGCAUGGAUCCGACUCCAUCCUCCCAGCUGCUCACCCAUGGAUCUAACUGAAAAAAAAAAGAAGCCAUCCGGAUAUCCCGCGGCCAGCCAGGAUAGCAUCCCGAACAACAACCCAGUCGCUUCUUUUUCCGCUCAUCUCUUUCCGCUUCUUCCACGCGUCCAGCUCAUCUUCAUCAGCACCAGCUUCUUCGGAUCAUCUCCCACAGAUAAGCUCCAAUCCAGUUGCAGCCGCAUCCAUUCCGGGAUAUGAUCAAGUUCAGCCGUCCACAGAUGAAGUCUUGCUUCCAAGAUCCUCCCACAUCCCCUGUUUCCGGAUUAUCUCUCUCAACCGUGAGCAUCCACGCCAUCCUCUGCAUCCUUAUCUUUGAUUCGAAAGAGGGGAGGAAAGAGAAGUGGGCAGGCUAUAAAAAGGGAGUCGAUUCGUUCCAUCUUCACCACCGGGGACUGCUCCCAUUCUUCCUUCUUCCCCAUCGGGAGCUGAAUCAUCUCUUCUCAGGUUGAGCUUCCACCAAAGUAAGAAGGGAGAGAAUACUUUGGGUCUUUUCGGGAAUGCCUUCUCAAAAGGAAAAAAAUAAUGAAUUGCUAGAGAAGGAAGGAGAGAUCCAGGGAAGGGAGGAAGAAAAGAAGAAAUGGGAGCCCGCUGCUGUGCCACUGCUACUGUCGCCUACGACUUCAUGGAAGGCUGAUCUCCUCUCUAGGGCCAGAUGCAGCCCUAACAAAGGGCUAAGGAUUUUGUAUUUUUGAUUUUUAUUCUUGGAGUUGUAUAAACUUUAUUUUACUCUUAGUGAAUAUUUCAUUUUAUCUCAUAUUUAA